rnacentral:rRNA from 1 species
AUGCUUGAAAAAUUUGGCACCCUUCUCUGCGACGUAGACUGGACUGAUGAGGGUUUGAAAAGGGUCCUUGGUUGUCCGUUAACUGAAAACUCUGUUUGUGCACAGCCUGUAUCUUCUAUUGAGAAGGAACUGGACGGAGCAAGGUCUUCAUGCCUUAAAUUGCUUAAAGAUCUGCUACACUCGCUUAAUUUACCCACUGGAGUAGGCAAAGACUGGGUCCAGAGCUACUGCAUACGUAAUGCUACACUUCUUUUCUGUACCACCUCUAGCUCUUAUCGGUUACAUCACAUGGAUAUUGCACCACUCGAUGUAUUAAUUGUUGAUGAGGCUGCUCAAGUGCGGGAGUGUGAAUUGGUGAUCCCACUACGUCUGCAUUGGUUAAAACAUGUUGUUUUGGUAGGAGAUGACUGUCAGCUGAGUGCAAUGGUUAAAAGCAAAGUAUGCAAAGAAGCUGGAUUUGAGACAAGUCUGUUUGGGAGAUUGGUUAUGCUCAAAUUUGAUAAACAUUUGCUGAAUAUACAGUAUCGCAUGAAUCCUUGUAUCAGCUUAUUUCCAAAUGCUCAAUUUUAUGAGAGGAAGAUUUUAGAUGGUUCCAAUGUCCUGUCUCCUAGUUAUAAUAAGGAUUACACAUGCCUCCCUUUUGGCAGCUACACGUUUAUAAAUGUUACUGAUGGAAGGGAGGACAAAGAGGGCAAAGGAAACAGUCACAGAAACAUGGUUGAAGUUGCUGUUGUCUUGCACCUAAUCCAUACCAUCUUUAAAUCUUGGAAAAACAGAAACCAAGGGCUCAGCAUCGGCGUGGUCUCUCCAUAUAAAGCUCAAGUUGAUGCAAUUAAAAGUCGACUUGGAGAAAAAUAUGAUACGUGUGAUGGCUUUCAUGUGCGGGUGAAAUCCACCGAUGGUUUCCAAGGAGAAGAGGAUGAUAUAAUAAUACUAUCAACUGUUAGAUCCAAUGGGAGAGGAGUUGUUGGAUUUCUUGCUGAUAACCGAAGAACAAAUGUUGCUCUUACUAGAGCAAGGCACUGUCUUUGGAUUGUUGGGAAUGCUCAUACGCUGUAUAAAAGUGGGACCAAAUGGACAGAACUUGUUGCUGAUGCAGAGAGACGUAAAUGUGUUUUCAGUGCCACUAAUGACGCAACCAUCUGUAAGUUAGUUCUGCAAGUAAAGCAAGAGCUUGAUGAACUUGACGAUCUUCUUAAUGCUGAUUCAGCGGUUUUCAGCAAUACCAGAUGGAAGGUCAUUGUUAGCGACAAGUUUAGAAAGUCCUUCACGAAACUAAAAUCACCACAGCUCAGGAAGGAAGUACUCCAAAAGCUUAUCAGACUUGGAGAUGGUUGGAGGACAACCGUUAAGAACCUUGAUAUACCUGGUGUUUCUCAUCUUGCAAAGGUAUACAAGGUCUGGAACCUGUAUCUUGUUUGGAGUAUUGAUGUGGAGAAAACCGAAGGACGGUAUUUUCAGAUAAUAAGGGUUUGGGACCUACUGUCACAGCAAAAUGUUGCAAGAACUGUUCAACGUCUUGAGAAUCUGUUUUCCAUGUACACGGAUGAUUACCUGGAUCAUUGCAGGAGAGUGCAGACACAGGGUUUUGUAAAAAAUGGGUCUUGUGGCUAA